rnacentral:rRNA from 1 species
AAUCAACGCUGGCGGCGUGCCUAACACAUGCAAGUCGAGCGGCAGCGCGAGUAGUUUACUACUUGGCGGCGAGCGGCGGACGGCUGAGUAACGCGUGGGAACGUGCCCCAAAGUGAGGAAUAACUGCCCGAAAGGGUGGCUAAUGCCGCAUAUGAUCUUCGGAUUAAAGGAUUUAUCCGCUUUGGGAGCGGCCCGCGUCGGAUUAGGUUGUUGGUGAGGUAAUGGCUCACCAAGCCGACGAUCCGUAGCUGGUCUGAGAGGAUGAUCAGCCAGACUGGGACUGAGACACGGCCCAGACUCCUACGGGAGGCAGCAGUGAGGAAUCUUCCACAAUGGGCGAAAGCCUGAUGGAGCAACGCCGCGUGAAGGAUGAAGGCCCUCGGGUUGUAAACUUCUUUUAUAAGUGAAGAAUAUGACGGUAACUUAUGAAUAAGCACCGGCUAACUACGUGCCAGCCGCCGCAGUAAUAC